rnacentral:misc_RNA from 1 species
GGCAAGGUUAUGGUCGAACGAAUGGUUAUGACUUAAAGACACGUUAUCAUGCAUGUAUUCUGAUGUAAACAACUGAACAUAAACGGUUGUCAUGGCUGCUCCCCCAGAACCACCACAGCCACCAACCGUGGGUCUCGAUGUUAAAGUAAAAGUUACAAACGAAAGCAUAGAAUUAAGAUUCAGAUGCAGCACGGGCGUGGCAGUGUUAUUGGGGGUUACUGGCGUGACGCUGGGGGCACUUUACGGCAAAGAAAAGAUCCAACCUGUUAUAGAAAGAUUGUUCAAUUCUGUUUUUGGCUUCUGCAAACUCACCCCUGGAUCCAUUGUCGUCGAUGUUGACUGCUUUUCAGCCAAGCGUGUGAAGGAAUUACUUGACAAUUACAAAUGUGGAAAACUAAAAAGUCGGUUUUUGGAUGAGCUGCAAAAGAUUGAUGGCAAGAUUGAAAACCUAAAGAUCAGAUUUGAACUAAAAGAAACUUUGGCGAUGAACACAAAUCGCAAACCAAGAACCUUUGGACAAAGGAAAGAGAAAAAAUCAAAGAAAGUAGAAGAACGAACGCAAGCCAUGUCUGAAAACGAGUACCUUGAGAUGUUGGAAAGCAUCAGAAAGUUGGAUGGUGUGACAGAGAGGCUUAUUAAUUUAUCCGAAAUCGACGAUGAUAGAUGUCAUAAUUACGACAAGGAUGAUAGUCCGUACAGCGAUGUCAUCAGUACAAGUGAUGAGCACGGAAGGACAAUCUUGCACUAUGCCGCCGUAUUGGGAAACCAUGCAUUGUUAAGAUAUUUCAAUAAUCUCUCGCCAUCCAUUUCUGACGCACGGGAUUGUGAUGGCAGGACUUUUUUACAUCUUGCAUUCAUACCAACCAAACUUUUUAUUCCUCACGAAAGUUUCGGAAAACUUUGUGGUGGUGGCAAUUCAUUCUAUACUGGUAAGGCAACUAUAGAUGCUCGAGACUGCGAAUAUCGAACUCCGCUGCACUACGCCGGCAUGCACAAUGGUGAUGUUGAAAGUUUAAUAGAAGAUAGAGCAAACAUUCUCGCCAUUGAUGCAUAUGGUAAAACGCCUCUCGACUAUGCCGUGGAUCAUGGUAAUACCAAAGUCGUAGAGUGUCUUCUGCUACAACAUAGAAAAGAAAAAGCCUCGCUAAAGAUAACGAAAGACAUCAAUACUGUGGACGAGGAAGGAAGAAACAUACUACACAAACUCGCAGCUUUUGCCAGUCCUGAAGCAAUAACUGUACUUCUCGAUGCUGGAUUUGACAUGAAUGCUAAGGACAAGAUAGGAAAAACUGCGUUGGAUUAUGCAUUUGAACAUUCGAAUGUCGAGUCUGCCAUUGCACUUUUCGAUCGUUUACUAGUAAAAGAACCGGUUCAUUCAUGUGUUGUUCUAGUUAAGAAAUAUUCGAAGAUGAAAGAUUCGCUUUCUCGGACAAUGCUACACCUUUCUGUGAUUCAUGCUAGGCAGAAUGUGUUAAAGCUGCUGUUAACCCAAUAUUGGGACGUAAACCAUCGCGACGAUGCAGGAAAGACUCCUUUACAUUAUGCUUUCCAGCAUGGUAAUCUCGACGCCGCCGAGAAACUUCUUAAAGCUGGUGCUAGUGUGGAUGAGAGAGAUAAAAACAAUGAAACAGUUGUACAUCUUGCAACAAGACGUGGGGACGAAAAGGCUAUAACGUAUCUAUUACAUCUUGCUGCUAAAGAGGGUAAUGAAGAUCUGCUUGAUCUAUUGUUGAAGUAUAACGUAAAUGUGAAAGCUGUUGACAGAAAAGGAAACUCUGCCCUACAUUAUGCGGUCGGGCAGAGAAAUGCCGCUAUUGUCGAGAAACUUAUUAAAGCUGGAGCAAGCUUAGAUGGGGAAAAUGACGAAGGACAAACCGUAUUACAUGUUGCUGCAAAAUAUGGUGAUGAGAAAGUGAUUGAUCUUCUUUUAAAAAGUAACGUAAAUGUGAAAGCUGUUGACAGAGAAGGAAACUCUGCCCUACAUUAUGCCAUCAGGUAUAGAAAUGCCGCUAUUGUCGAGAAACUUAUUAAAGCUGGAGCAAGCUUUGAAGGGGAAAAUGACCAAGGAAAAACGAUAUUACAUGUUGCUGCAGAAUAUGAUGAUGAGAAAGUGAUUGAUCUUCUUUUAAAAAGUAACGUAAAUGUGAAAGCUGUCGACAGGAAUGGAAACUCUGCCCUAUAUUAUGCCAUCUGGCAGAGAAAUGCUGCUAUUGUCGAGAAACUUAUUAAAGCUGGAGCAAGCUUAGAUGGGGAAAAUGACCAAGGAAAAACGGUAUUACAUGUCGCUGCAGAAUAUGAUGAUGAGAAAGUGAUUGAUCUUCUUUUAAAAAGUAACGUAAAUGUGAAAGCUGUUGACAGAAAAGGAAACUCUGCCCUACAUUAUGCCAUCAGGCAGAGAAAUGCCGCUAUUGUCGAGAAACUUAUUAAAGCUGGAGCAAGCUUAGAUGGGGAAAAUGACGAAGGACAAACCGUAUUAAAUCUUGCUGCAAAAUAUGGUGAUGAGAAAGUGAUUGAUCUUCUUCUAAAAAGUAACGUAAAUGUGAAAGCUGUCGACAGGAAUGGAAACUCUGCCCUACAUUAUGCAUUCAGGCAGAGAAAUGCCGCUAUUGUCGAGAAACUUAUUAAAGCUGGAGCAACCUUAGAUGGGGAAAAUGACGAAGGAAAAACCGUUAUACAUCUUGCUGCAAAAUACGGUGAUGAGAAAGUGAUUGAUCUUCUUUUAAAAAGUAGCGUAAAUGUGAAAGCUGUCGACAGGAAAGGAAACUCUGCCCUACAUUAUGCAGUCCAGCAGAGAAAUGCCGCUAUUGUCGAGAAACUUAUUAAAGCUGGAGCAAGCUUAGAAGAGGAAAAUGACGCAGGACAGACAUUAUUACAUAUUGCUGCAGAAUAUGGCGAUGAAGAACUGUUUGAUCUAUUGUUGAAGUAUAACGUAAAUGUGAAAGCUGUCGACAGGAAAGGAAACUCUGUCCUACAUUAUGCGGUCGGGCAAAGGAAUGUCGCUAUUGUCGAGAAACUCAUCAAAGCUGGAGCAAGCUUAGAAUGGGAAAAUUACGAAGGACAGACAUUUUUACAUAUUGCUGCAAAAUAUGGUGAUGGAGAACUGUUUGAUCUAUUGUUGAAGUAUAACGUAAAUGUAAAAGCUGUUGACUGGGAAGGAAACUCUGUCCUACAUUAUGCCGUCAGGCAGAAAAAUGCCGCUAUUGUCGAGAAACUUAUUAAAGCUGGAGCAAGCUUAGAAGAGGAAAAUGACGCAGGACAGACAUUAUUACAUAUUGCUGCAGAAUAUGGCGAUGAAGAACUGUUUGAUCUAUUGUUGAAGUAUAACGUAAAUGUGAAAGCUGUCGACAGGAAAGGAAACUCUGUCCUACAUUAUGCGGUCGGGCAAAGGAAUGUCGCUAUUGUCGAGAAACUCAUCAAAGCUGGAGCAAGCUUAGAAUGGGAAAAUUACGAAGGACAGACAUUUUUACAUAUUGCUGCAAAAUAUGGUGAUGGAGAACUGUUUGAUCUAUUGUUGAAGUAUAACGUAAAUGUAAAAGCUGUUGACUGGGAAGGAAACUCUGUCCUACAUUAUGCCGUCAGGCAGAAAAAUGCCGCUAUUGUCGAGAAACUUAUUAAAGCUGGAGCAAGCUUAGAAGGGAAAAAUAACAAAGGAGUGACAUCUUUACAUGUUGCUGCAAUAUAUGGUAAUAAAGAAAUGAUUGAUCUGCUGUUGAAAAAAAAAGCAAAUGUGAAGGUUAUCGAUAGUGAAGGAAAAUCUGCCGUUUAUUACGCUGUUGAAAGGAGCGAUGUCGCCAUCGUUGAGAUGCUUUUAGAAGCUGGAGCCGGUGUAGAAGGAAAAGAUUAUAGAGGACAAACAGUUUUACAUCUUGCUGCACAAAACAAUGAUGAAAAAAUGGUUGAUCUGCUGUUGAAAAAUAUGGCGGAUGUUAAUGAUAUUGACAGAAGGAGAAACUCUGCCGUACAUUAUGCUCUCAUGAGGGGCAAUCUAGCCAUCGUCCAAAAACUGAUUGAGGCUGGAGCUCUCAUUAGCGAGAAUGAUAAAUAUCUUUCGUCUGCUUUAUUGACAAAAGUUUCAGGCUCAUCAAGUUCAUUUGAGCCAAGCGAAGAUGAUAUUCAGUCAGACGAGAGCACACCAGGAUCAACAGCCAGAUGCCUUAUCACUUGAGGAUACAAACAAAAAUAACUUUAUUUAGAAACCCCUACGACUGCAUAGUGUGCCCAGUGAACUCCAUAUAUAUGGAAGGAUCACUCUAGUACAUUGCGAAAUCUGAAAGUAAAGCCAAAAAUGGCAGAUCGUGAAGGCUGCUUGGGUACCGAACCAGACCUCCACACACGAGCGGUUAAAAUUCAAUAUGGCGGCAACGUGUAGGAGUAGAACUCUGUCAGUUUUGUAAACACAACACAAAUAUACGGCAAAAGUUACCUCUCUAGAAAGAAUAACAUUGCCAGAAAGACUACUAUAGUAAUGUGAGCUUUAGUCGACGGGUG